UAUCUCCUCUCACUCCUUGCUGGGAUCCAGAUGUAGGAGCACAGGACACUAGGGCUGCAAUGUGUCCCCAGCAGCUGUCAGAGGUUUCCGACGGGAGGAGGGAGGCAGACUACCCUCCUUGCCCAUGGCGAGGCGCCUUUGGGAGGAGGAGGAGGAAGAGCAAGGGUCUCCAACAGCGAACCUUUGUCCCGGAAUGCAGAUGAGCCAGCGCGCGGCGGCGCUAGGACAAUGCCCGCCCAGUCCUCGCCGCGCCCCGAUCCAUCUGCGGCUAUUUUGUUAACCCGAUGUUUCUUACAUUCUUUCUCUCACGCAGAAUGCUUGAUGUUGACAGCUGUGAAUUUUAAACAACCAUUCUGGGAUCCUGCUGCUCAUGAGGUGUCUCUCUCUGAAGCCUCUGUAACUACAGUGAAUGUUUCUGGUUAGCCUUCAAUUAACCAGAAAAUCAGAUUAAUUGUGCAUGAACUCCUAUGUCCAGGACCAGUCUGACCCAUAGAAGAUGCAAAUCGGGGUAAAAGCACCGAGCUCCAAACCAUCGUGAAAGGGGCUGUCGACUGAGAAGAGGUAACAGCUGCUCCGUGGCAAUUAAGCAGCAGUUUCUGUUGCUGAAGGAGAUUAUUUUGGAUGGCGUAAAGAGAUUCAAAUAAAAAUGUCAACGUGCCCAUUAUGGAUGAAAGCUAGAAAAACUUAAGUGGCCCUGAAUUAAUCACUACUUGACAGGAAGGCACGUAAACGAGUACUAAAAAAAUCCCCCCGCAAAUCUAUUUUCCUGCCUUUUUGGUAAUUGUAAAGAAGCUGGUUGGGGAGUGGGGAGGGCUUUUCUUGGCUGCAACCUUAAUUCAUCUUGGAGUGAAGAUUUAAUGACAAAGUUACAAGCCCUUAAAGUACCAUUUAUUGAGGGGCUAAUGAGAGUUCCUAAGAGCUCCGUAAAAACAGAGAAGCAGCCACCGACACAAGAGGCCUUUGAAAAUACCGAAGAGAGGGGAGUUCAUUAGCCUUUUUUCCCCGUUUUCUCCUCCUUCUUCUCCUUCCCCUUUCUCAACAAUGAACGUUUCUGCUGCCAAACCUUCAGGAAUCGGGUUGGUUUCCUUUCAAGUAAUUGAUGCAGGCUUUGCUUGUGCAUUAGACAGCCUCUCCGACAAGAGGCAGGAAAUCUCACCGUCAAAGGGAAGCUGCGCAUUCCUUCCUCCCUGGCUGGCUCGGCCCCUCUCACACACUGGAUUUGCGCUGCCCUUGCCAAAACCCCUCCGAUUUCCACGGCCUCCCAUGGCUAAGAUAACGAAUGCUGCUCUCGGGCUCUGAGAGCUGCGCUUAUUUUAAAACUCCAGCUAUGCUGCAACAAAACCGGCUGCUGUCACCCCAAAUCGAGCAAAUGAGCCCCUGUCCUCCGGCAUAAAGGCUGAGAGACUUAUUGAAUGUCCCCCGCGGAGAAAGCCCCAUUCACCCUGACCGCACUGGGAACCUCUGAACCCUCCCGCUUCCCUCAGCCUUCAGCCCAGGAGCACAGGAAAGAAUCCUUGGGCUGGGCUGUUCCAAACAGAUCAAGUUUUCUUAAGUCAGGAUUUUUUUUUUUUUUUUUUUUU